GGUUAAGCGACUAAGCGUACACGGUGGAUGCCCUGGCAGUCAGAGGCGAUGAAGGACGUGCUAAUCUGCGAAAAGCGUCGGUAAGGUGAUAUGAACCGUUAUAGCCGGCGAUGUCCGAAUGGGGAAACCCAGUGCAAUUCGUUGCACUAUCGUUAACUGAAUACAUAGGUUAACGAGGCGAACCGGGGGAACUGAAACAUCUAAGUACCCCGAGGAAAAGAAAUCAACCGAGAUUCCCCCAGUAGCGGCGAGCGAACGGGGAGCAGCCCAGAGUCUGAAUCAGCUUGUGUGUUAGUGGAACGGUCUGGAAAGUCCGACGGUACAGGGUGAUAGUCCCGUACACCAAAAUGCACAGGUUGUGAACUCGAAGAGUAGGGCGGGACACGUGGUAUCCUGUCUGAAUAUGGGGGGACCAUCCUCCAAGGCUAAAUACUCCUGACUGACCGAUAGUGAACCAGUACCGUGAGGGAAAGGCGAAAAGAACCCCGGCGAGGGGAGUGAAAAAGAACCUGAAACCGUGUACGUACAAGCAGUGGGAGCACCUUCGGGUGUGACUGCGUACCUUUUGUAUAAUGGGUCAGCGACUUAUAUUCUGUAGCAAGGUUAACCGUAUAGGGGAGCCGCAGGGAAACCGAGUCUUAACUGGGCGUUAAGUUGCAGGGUAUAGACCCGAAACCCGGUGAUCUAGCCAUGGGCAGGUUGAAGGUUGGGUAACACUAACUGGAGGACCGAACCGACUAAUGUUGAAAAAUUAGCGGAUGACUUGUGGCUGGGGGUGAAAGGCCAAUCAAACCGGGAGAUAGCUGGUUCUCCCCGAAAGCUAUUUAGGUAGCGCCUCGUGAACUCAUCUUCGGGGGUAGAGCACUGUUUCGGCUAGGGGGUCAUCCCGACUUACCAACCCGAUGCAAACUACGAAUACCGAAGAAUGUUAUCACGGGAGACACACGGCGGGUGCUAACGUCCGUCGUGAAGAGGGAAACAACCCAGACCGCCAGCUAAGGUCCCAAAGUCAUGGUUAAGUGGGAAACGAUGUGGGAAGGCACAGACAGCCAGGAUGUUGGCUUAGAAGCAGCCAUCAUUUAAAGAAAGCGUAAUAGCUCACUGGUCGAGUCGGCCUGCGCGGAAGAUGUAACGGGGCUAAACCAUGCACCGAAGCUGCGGCAGCGACACUAUGUGUUGUUGGGUAGGGGAGCGUUCUGUAAGCCUGCGAAGGUGACCUGUGAGGGUUGCUGGAGGUAUCAGAAGUGCGAAUGCUGACAUAAGUAACGAUAAAGCGGGUGAAAAGCCCGCUCGCCGGAAGACCAAGGGUUCCUGUCCAACGUUAAUCGGGGCAGGGUGAGUCGACCCCUAAGGCGAGGCCGAAAGGCGUAGUCGAUGGGAAACAGGUUAAUAUUCCUGUACUUGGUGUUACUGCGAAGGGGGGACGGAGAAGGCUAUGUUAGCCGGGCGACGGUUGUCCCGGUUUAAGCAUGUAGGCUGGUUGUCCAGGCAAAUCCGGAUAAUCAAGGCUGAGGUGUGAUGACGAGGCACUACGGUGCUGAAGUAACAAAUGCCCUGCUUCCAGGAAAAGCCUCUAAGCAUCAGGUAACAUCAAAUCGUACCCCAAACCGACACAGGUGGUCAGGUAGAGAAUACCAAGGCGCUUGAGAGAACUCGGGUGAAGGAACUAGGCAAAAUGGUGCCGUAACUUCGGGAGAAGGCACGCUGGUGUGUAGGUGAAGUCCCUGCGGAUGGAGCUGAGACCAGUCGAAGAUACCAGCUGGCUGCAACUGUUUAUUAAAAACACAGCACUGUGCAAACACGAAAGUGGACGUAUACGGUGUGACGCCUGCCCGGUGCCGGAAGGUUAAUUGAUGGGGUUAUCCGUAAGGAGAAGCUCUUGAUCGAAGCCCCGGUAAACGGCGGCCGUAACUAUAACGGUCCUAAGGUAGCGAAAUUCCUUGUCGGGUAAGUUCCGACCUGCACGAAUGGCGUAAUGAUGGCCAGGCUGUCUCCACCCGAGACUCAGUGAAAUUGAACUCGCUGUGAAGAUGCAGUGUACCCGCGGCAAGACGGAAAGACCCCGUGAACCUUUACUAUAGCUUGACACUGAACAUUGAGCCUUGAUGUGUAGGAUAGGUGGGAGGCUUUGAAGCGUGGACGCCAGUCUGCGUGGAGCCAACCUUGAAAUACCACCCUUUAAUGUUUGAUGUUCUAACGUUGGCCCCUGACCGGGGUUGCGGACAGUGUCUGGUGGGUAGUUUGACUGGGGCGGUCUCCUCCCAAAGCGUAACGGAGGAGCACGAAGGUUAGCUAAUCCUGGUCGGACAUCAGGAGGUUAGUGCAAUGGCAUAAGCUAGCUUGACUGCGAGCGUGACGGCGCGAGCAGGUGCGAAAGCAGGUCAUAGUGAUCCGGUGGUUCUGAAUGGAAGGGCCAUCGCUCAACGGAUAAAAGGUACUCCGGGGAUAACAGGCUGAUACCGCCCAAGAGUUCAUAUCGACGGCGGUGUUUGGCACCUCGAUGUCGGCUCAUCACAUCCUGGGGCUGAAGUAGGUCCCAAGGGUAUGGCUGUUCGCCAUUUAAAGUGGUACGCGAGCUGGGUUUAGAACGUCGUGAGACAGUUCGGUCCCUAUCUGCCGUGGGCGCUGGAGAAUUGAGGGGGGCUGCUCCUAGUACGAGAGGACCGGAGUGGACGCAUCACUGGUGUUCGGGUUGUCAUGCCAAUGGCACUGCCCGGUAGCUAAAUGCGGAAGAGAUAAGUGCUGAAAGCAUCUAAGCACGAAACUUGCCCCGAGAUGAGUUCUCCCUGAGACUUUAAGUCUCCUGAAGGAACGUUGAAGACGACGACGUUGAUAGGCCGGGUGUGUAAGCGCAGCGAUGCGUUGAGCUAACCGGUACUAAUGAACCGUGAGGCUUAACCUU
rnacentral:rRNA from 1 species